rnacentral:lncRNA from 1 species
GGAGAGAGUCUCAAAACCAUCAGAACCCAUGAUCAGGCCUGACGAUGGAGAGCUUUGUAAGAUGCAAGAACAAGACAGUAGGGAGUGCUGGAAGUGACUGACCAUGAAGGAUACUUGUUCUAUACAGCAUGAUGCUCUGCACCCCCAAAAGCUUCAGAGAACCCUCUCAAAAGGAAUUUCUAACUUUUAUAGGUUUUCAGGGAGUGGUGAGAAUUUCCAUACCUCAUUAUUUCAUCUGGCUGAUAUUAUGUGACAAGCAGAAUAGAGGAGUCAGGUACUGCCUGUGACUACAAGGCUGUCUUUCAGUUGUAACAGGGAGGAACUGGGCUCUCAUACACCCUGUUCUCCACCAAUCCUGUGUGUUAGAACUGUCGCAAGAGAUGCUAUCAGCCACAGUCAAGUAUUUACUCUCUCAGAAAUUUUACAUAUCAUAUACUUUCUGUAUGUUAUCAUCACCUACUACAAUUAAUAUAUCACAGAGAAUGUAUAAAAAUCACUAAAUAUCUAAUUCUAAAGUAAUUAUAAUCCAAAGCACUUGAUGCAUUUCUAGCUCAACUAUAUAUCCAUGGAAAUAUUUUAAUGUAUCAGGAUAAAUAUGUAAUUUUGGUAGGUCUUUCAAAUCAAUUUAGAAUAUCUUUAACCUUUGUUCCUAGUCUCCCUGUUCAAAUAAACAGAUUAAUAAUCU